ACCCUUUCUCAUGCCACACUAUUCUUCUCUCUUUUGUCAGUUUAUUUCCUUGAGCAGUCGUCGCCACCACCAUCACUGUCGUCCACUCGUGUCCAGCUAAUGCCCGUUUGUCGUCGAAUAGUCUUUUGGGCUAGUUUUUUUCUUUGACCGUCGUUGUGCUCGCCACCACUGUUGGGCAAGUUUUUUUUUUCUUGGGGCUGCUCUUCUUUCUUCGAUUCUAUGAUUAUCAAUGUUUGUUACUUUACUAAUUAUCCAUCAACUGAUGUUGGGAGCACCCGACAAUGCCCUCGCACGGAAACUUCUAUUUUAUCCUUUGGAGGUAAUAUUGAGCAUUGAUCGAGGAAGCCCAACAAUUAAUCCGUAUAACUAUUCCCAAGGAGGGCCAAAAUGAAGCAAAUUGGAAAAAGGAAAAAAAAAAAAAAAAAAGGAUCAAGGCAACAGUGGCUGUUUCAGAGUGGAUCAUCUGGGCACUCAUAAACUUGUUUGUGAAGUACAUCUUCAAGACAUAUGGCUUUAGAAACUGGAAUAAUCUUGGUGGCUUGAUUGGAUGAGGAAUCACCAUCUCCAUUGACUAAUCUAACUCAAUUAUACUCUUGAUGGGAAACGGCUGCUUGUGGUUGUUGGAAGAACACACCUAUCACCUACACAACAGACAACUCUAUUAGAGAUGGACAAAUUGAAAUGUUAAAUAGGUAUCAAUUAUUUAACCAUGUUAUAUUUUACAAACAUGUGGACGAACUUUUUACUUAACAAGGGAAACCAUGUGAAUUAAAAAAAUGUGCUUGUUGUUGAAUAAUUAGUGGAGUAAAUUUGAGGUACUUACCUCUGAAUAUUAAAAGUUAGUCCACCACACUACUGAAGAAUUUCUUCGGACUUUGUGAGAUAAUGUAAGUAGAAAAAAUUGUUGUUUUUUGUUUUUGAAGUUAAGUCCAUGUAAAGCAAUAUCUUAACUUGUGCUUGUUUAGUUAGAAUUUAGAAAUGGUUGGAUUAACUAAGAGGUUGUAAAUGACUAAACAUACUUUAAAACUUGGUCGUUAACUUUAACAACAUAUUUCAACUCUAUCAUUUUGUUUAUUAUAAAGUCUAGUUGUCUCCAUACAGGAAAUAGUUUAUUUCAUUCUUAGAUAAUUAGUCUACCAUUUAUUUCUUAGUUGGUUAUCGAUUGCCAUUGAGCUUGAAUAGGUUGAUAAUAGGGACUCAUAGAGCCUAGGAUCGCACCGGCGCAAGGUGCUAAGUUAUGUGAUUCGAAACUUUAGAAUCGGUGCUAACAGAGUUAUCUUUGCUAUGCCUGGGGUUGAUGGUACUGAUUAUACUAUGAGGAUAUUAAAUUCUGACAGUAGUGAACUGGAGAUUUAUUGUGGAGCUUGAGAAUUUGCAGGGAAGGCAUAGCGCUGAUCUAAUUAUUGCAGUAACUUCAAGAUCCUAAAAGAGAAGAAAUUUUGGGAGAGAAAUCAAAGUAACUGCAAUUGCCGUAUGUACUCUAUUGUUGUCGGUAGUUUUAUUUUAGAAGGUUGUACUGAUGUAUUUUCGCUUACAGUGAGAGUGUUUUAGAUUAUCUUCAUUUGACUGGCCAGAUGUGAAUAUAAAUUUUCGUGAUUUAACUGAAAUCCCUAUCCAAAGUCCCAUAAUCUCUCUUAUUGUAGGCAGUGAAGGGAAGGCAUUGAAAGGCAACAGGUGCAUGUCACCCUUUCGACUCAUUUAAAUUAUUGUUUCAACCAUAUGUGCGUUAUUGUUUUAUUGUUGUUCUAUAUAUACUUUUUUCUUUUGGAGAACAGAUAAAUGUUGAAAUCCGAUUUUCAUGUGACUGCUAUAAGGCCUCCCACAGUUCCAGCCAACUCUUGCAAGUUUGCUUUCUUUUGAAUCUCAUAAAAUAUUAGUUCUUGAGAUUUUCCUUGAUUUUUUACUCGACAAUUUUCAUCUGCUAUUCACUUUGCAUUACUGGGUUAAACUUUUUCAUGUGAUUCUUAAACUUCUUUAUGUGUGAUUGUUCAUUUCUUACUUGGGAUCUAUUUCCUGUAGUUCCACUCUAUUAUAAAAAAAAACAUGACCAAUUUUGAUCCCUUGGGAUUUGAUAUAAUGAAAAAUAUAUUUGUUCAAACACACUCAUCUCUGAAUAUAUCCAAAGGCAGUCAUAUUCAAACCAACUGGAGCAAACUAAUCCCAUACAAUGGAAAUUGAUGGUUCAAGUUCAACCUUCAGUCAACUUUUUGGAAUUCAAAGUGCAUUGAAGUUCACUACAAGAAAAUGGAGCAUUUCCGACGCCAAAAAAGACGUCGGCAUAAAGAACAUCGGGAAUAAGGGUUUUUUCGACGCCAUGAACACCGCGUCGGGAGAAGCUUCGGGAAAACACUCUUUCCCGACGCAUCAAGAAGGCGUCAGCCAGUAGCCCUCGGGAAAAGGGCAAAUUAAUUUUUAAAAACAAACUAUUCCCGACGCCGUGCACAGUGCGUCGGGAACGACGUCAGGAAUAGGAGUUUUUCCCGACGCGUUACGGAGUGUCGGGAACACUGUUUAAUGAGCGUCGGGAAUGCCCCUUUUCCCGACGCCACAACACUGUGUUGGGAAAUUCCCUUUUUAAUCGUUUCAGUUCUAUAUUUUAUAGAACCGAAACCGAGAGGGGAUAAGAGAGGAGAUUGCUGUCAAAGCUGAAAGGGGAAAAGAGAGAUUAAAGCAUUUUCGUUGCCGUUCCGCCACGGUCCCUCGCCACCGUUCCGCCGCCGUCUGUCACUUUAGAAUGACCGAAGUUAUAUCGGAUUGAAAGCUAAGCGGUUGUGUAGAUAGGCAGACGAUCGUUGAAUGUUGAAGACUGAGAAGACGUUUAGGAUUUCAUAUUUAAGUCUUGUAUUAGGAUCUUGUUUCAUGUAUUGUUGAUUCGUAUAUAUAAACACAAUAUUAAAAUUUCAUUUUGUGUAAAUGUAAAAGACAAAUAUUAUAGUUUCUAAAAUAAUAUUAAUUUUAUUGA